rnacentral:tRNA from 1 species
AAUAAAGUGCCUGAUAAAAGGAUUAUUUUGAUAGAAUAAAUUAUAUAAUUAUAAAAAUUAUCUUUAUUA